GUGCCAGGCGCCGCGGUAAUACGGAGGGGGUUAGCGUUGUUCGGAAUUACUGGGCGUAAAGCGCACGUAGGCGGAUUAGUCAGUCAGAGGUGAAAUCCCAGGGCUCAACCCUGGAACUGCCUUUGAUACUGCUAGUCUUGAGUUCGAGAGAGGUGAGUGGAAUUCCGAGUGUAGAGGUGAAAUUCGUAGAUAUUCGGAGGAACACCAGUGGCGAAGGCGGCUCACUGGCUCGAUACUGACGCUGAGGUGCGAAAGUGGGGGGAGCAAACAGGAUUAGAAACCCGAGUAGUCC
rnacentral:rRNA from 1 species